ACGAACGCUGGCGGCGUGCUUAACACAUGCAAGUCGAACGGUAAGGCCCCUUCGGGGGUACCCGAGUGGCGAACGGGUGAGUAACACGUGAGCAACCUGCCCUUGACUCUGGAAUAACAGUUGGAAACAGCUGCUAAUACUGGAUAUUCAUCGUCUCCUUCCUGGGGGGUGGUGGAAAGCUCCGGCGGUCAGGGAUGGGCUCGCGGCCUAUCAGCUUGUUGGUGAGGUAAUGGCUCACCAAGGCUUCGACGGGUAGCCGGCCUGAGAGGGCGACCGGCCACACUGGGACUGAGAUACGGCCCAGACUCCUACGGGAGGCAGCAGUGGGGAAUAUUGCACAAUGGGCGCAAGCCUGAUGCAGCAACGCCGCGUGCGGGAUGACGGCCUUCGGGUUGUAAACCGCUUUCAGUAGGGACGAAGGGUGACUGACGGUACCUACAGAAGAAGGACCGGCUAACUACGUG
rnacentral:rRNA from 1 species